rnacentral:piRNA from 1 species
CGGACACAAAUGGAAAAAAAUGUGUCA